rnacentral:rRNA from 1 species
GACGAACGCUGGCGGCGUGCUUAACACAUGCAAGUCGAGGGCGUGGUGGGGCAACCUGCCACGACCGGCGAACGGGUGCGUAACACGUGAGCGAUCUACCCUGGUGUGGGGGAGUAGCCGGCCCAACGGCCGGGUAAUACCGCAUACGCUCUUUGAGGGGCGAUCCCUUGGAGAACAAAGUCUUCGGACGCACUGGGAGGGGCGUCGCGGCCUAUCAGCUAGUUGGCGGGGUAACGGCCCACCAAGGCGGCGACGGGUA